UCAUACGUGGUGUGUAACAGAACCAUUGGACAGAAUGUUUGGAAGCAAGUUGCUAACCAACAUUCUAUAGAACAGAGUGUAUUCAGUGAUGACUCACAGAUAAAUUACUUCACCCUCACGGACCUCAAACUGGGUGUGCCAUUUGCUGUAGAUUGACUCAACGCUUAACCCUUACAGUCAGACACCAGUCGCCAAGUUAAUCGAUUUCAUUGCCAGACUGAGAAUUCUCCAAGCCUUCUGAAUUUAAUUUAAACUGAUUGCAUACUGAAUGAGUUUGGAGGACCGUAAAGCAAAAGUGCAUCUGCUCCAGAACUGAUCUACCAAAUGUUCAUUGGUUUGUGCUGGUGCGAAGAGCAUUCUGAGUCUAGCGGCCCAGCCCCGGAGGACGUGGUGAUCUACUGUGCGCACACGGGUGUAAACCAGAGUCACCGUGCAGCAACGGGCUGUUUGAUACUCCAAAUUCACAUCCAGGUUACGGUCAGUCACAAGGAUCUACAAUUAGCUGAAUUGUAAAGGUAUACCACUCUGAGUGUCGCUUGUGAGUGACAGAAGACCCAACUCAAACAGCAGGGUCGAGCAGAUAUCUGAAUAGCUGAAGUCCAUCUCUGUCUCCCAAGAGUUAAAUCGACAAACAAAAAAUGGAAUUGAGUCCCACCGAAAGAAUUGAAGAUCUCUGCUGAAACCAGUCACUGUGGACAGGGGGAUUCUACCUCCUCACUGGCCAUUCUGAGACACAUGUCCAAACUCAGAGCUAGGGUUCAAGGCAGCUCAGCAAACCACAUGGGCCAAUGAUGGAACAAGGCAAGCAGUGGUUCUGUUACUGGAAGAACGGGGAAAGGAUGUUGGGGAACUGAAAUCAAGAAAUGUCCAUGAUCACAUACAGAAACUCUACUCUUUUACAUCCUCUCCAACACCAAUUUCGUUACUGAUGUCACAAAUAACAUCUUUUUAUAUUUUGUAUCCAUUAACAUGGGGGUAUAGUUUGUAUUUUGGGCUUUUAUCCUUUGAAUCCUACAUCAAAAUUAAAAGUGAUUUAUGUACCACCA